AUUGAACGCUGGCGGCAUGCCUUACACAUGCAAGUCGAACGGCAGCGGACCUUCGGGUGCCGGCGAGUGGCGAACGGGUGAGUAAUGCAUCGGAACGUACCUUUCAGUGGGGGAUAACGUAGCGAAAGUUAUGCUAAUACCGCAUAUUCUGUGAGCAGGAAAGCAGGGGAUCGCAAGACCUUGCGCUGAUUGAGCGGCCGAUGUCAGAUUAGCUAGUUGGUGAGGUAAAGGCUCACCAAGGCGACGAUCUGUAGCGGGUCUGAGAGGAUGAUCCGCCACACUGGAACUGAGACACGGUCCAGACUCCUAAGGGAGGCAGCAGUGGGGAAUUUUGGACAAUGGGGGCAACCCUGAUCCAGCCAUGCCGCGUGAGUGAAGAAGGCCUUCGGGUUGUAAAGCUCUUUCGGCCGGGAAGAAAUCGCACGGGCUAAUACCCUGUGUGGAUGACGGUACCGGAAUAAGAAGCACCGGCUAACUACGUGCCAGCCGCCGCGGUAA
rnacentral:rRNA from 1 species